AAACCAUGCCGAGACUACCUUGUUCUUUUGUUCGCUUAUUGAACAAAUAAAACAAGACCGGCGCUUCUCUCCUUUGUCAAAAGCGGGAAGAGCGCCUGGGAGACUCCUUGGGAGGUGGACAGCUCUUUAGUCAAAUAGAACAGGUAGAUGUGUCACUUGACAAAAAAAAAAAAAAAUCUCAGAUUUGAAUCACGCUCGGCACCGUGGAGACGGACUCGGGUUCGUGUCACACUAAACGUCGCGCGACGUCGCAGAGGUGACACAUCAAUUCACACUUGUCUGCUGGGAUCCUAACUCGCUGCAACGGCGCUCCGCUAGGGUGACUUGGAUAUUUUUCCCCCUCGACUCGCAUCAAACUAGAAAUCGUUUUGCGUGGCGGACAGUCAAGGAUUCACUCAUUCCUUUAUCAUUUGGGGAAAUUUGAAAUUCUCCUUUUUUUUUUUUUUUUUCUUUCCCCCCACGUGCGUGAAACUCUUCAAGUCUUGACUUUCAAAACCGAGCCGGUCAACGUCGAGUCCCCGCGAAAUUUCAACCGAGUUGUGUCAAGUCAUCACAAUUGUAGUCAUAAGUCAGAUUCACUUUUCAGAGAAGGACAGUGGCCUUAUGUAAAAUACAUGUGUGUGUGUGGGGGGGGGUCUGCACAGUGGGCCGCAGAUUACCAUGGCACAGUGUCGUGCACCUCACCCCCCGAGUGCGGCAGGAGCAGAUGUUAAAGCUCGUGUUGGCCGUGGGGCUUAAAACGCGACUCCCAUCAAACGAAAACCGUUUCUCCCCGCGGACAGCGGCUCUGCAUGCCCGCUCUUCAUCCAACGUUCGUUUCUCUUUGUUCAUCAGAAAAACGGCACUGACGCCAGGGGGGGAAAAAAAAGAAAAAAUUAAAAAAAAAAAAAAAAAGCUAAAUAAAAACAGGCAGAUUAGCCCCUUAAACUAGGGCAAAAAGUUCCACUCGCAGCCUUUGUUGCAAAGGCCUUUCAUGUCGAGGGCUGUGUUUUUUUUUUUUUGCACUUGACCUUGGAAAAAUGAUUUGACUUUCCCCCGUUCUUAAUACAACAGGCUCAACCUCGAAAUUACAUUUUAACGUGACGUGCUGACGAAGAGUGCGACAGGGUAGCGGACGUGAGGUCCGGGUUCGAAUCUUGGGCGCUGCACAUUCCCAGAAUACUACAUGUAAAUUUGUUCAUUGUAUCGGUGUGAAUGCGAUUGGUAGUUUCUCGUUGUGCGCCCUGGGAUUGGCUGGCGAGAAGUCAAGGACGGUGCCGACUUCGCUUGCCAAAUGUCAGGUGAUUUCCAACAAGUCACUUUCUGUCUCGAAUGAGGACAAGUGCAAUAAAAAAAAAAUAUGCAAAUUGAGAUGGCAUGAUGGAAAUGUAUUUCUCGUUUAUUGGAAAGCAGAGGACAUUGUACCUUAAAAAUAAAACAUUUUUGUGAUGUGUGUGUGUAUUUUUCCAUUCUUUGUGCGGUUUAUUUUCCUUUUAUGCUUUUAAGUUGUUAGGACGUGGAUCUUUGCGACACUGUUUCCUUUCAUACUUUAAAAUCCUUAUGAUGUGACGCGGUUUCCUCUGAUGCUCUCGGGUCCGUGUGACGCCUACUCUUUGUGUUCUUUGUGACGCGGCAGUCUGAAACGUUUCAAGGGUUACCUAUAUAAGGACGAGAAAGACUGACCACGAGGCUUCUUCUCGCGACCUCACCGCUGCUCUGGGAAACUACGCUGCUUGGAAUACUUAACUGCACGGACGCCUGCCGCUUUUCGUUUUUGGACCGGCUGGAACUUUCCCUAACUUGGAAAUACCCGCUGGGACGAACAUUUACUCGUUUGGGAACACUCGUUCGACUUUGGUUUAACUACUCUGUUCUUGAACGUCUAUUUGGUGUUAGCUAUUUUUUCGUGUUUGUGUUGUGUUGAGGUGAGUGAGAUUAUAUUGUAGAAACGCAAUAGAACUGCUUUGUCGCAUUUUUGCUGGUUUGAACAAAGGGGACGUUAGUCUAAAUUCACACGUAACAUUUUCAACACAUGAGAAUCACCUCAUGCAGGCUCGCGAAUAACCUCGGUGUUACAGCGCUAUACUCCUUUAAGCCCCUUUGGGUAUUUGGAACACAAACAGUGGAGCAACACAUGCAGAAAUAAUAUAAUAAUCACGAGCUUAUAUUCUUUAUCUGCUGCAAAGAAUGAUUAAAAUUACUGCUGCUUACUAUGGAGCUGAGACAUUGCCACGUGUAUUAAAAAAUUAAUUUGACAGACUCCUGAUUCCCAUGUUUGCAUUUGCCUUCAUUUUUCACCGUGACCCAUAUUCCAGUGGCGGCACUUAGGAGCAAAGAAAAUGGCAAAUGUGUCACUUGAAUCACGUAGAGUAAAUCCAGCCCGAAAGCCGCAGGCCUCUAUUUUGUGUCCCGCAAUGUGUACUGCCUUCCGGCUGAUUGAGCUGUCACAGCACUUUGGUCGCCGCAUGGAUUCUUCCGGACAGAGGGGCUCGAUGGUUAAAUUGAGCAUCAAGGAGUGCGCUGAGCAAAAAAACUCGGGAAGCUCACAUUGCACUCGAAUCGUCGGACUUGUGUUUAGCGGUCGUGACCCCUCGCUUAAGGAAAAGGCAAGUCAAGGUUUUGAACGAGCCGAAGUGCUUUCCGACUAAUUUUUCAGCGACUUCUCUUAUUCUACCUUCGCAGGUCUGAUUGGGAGGCGCCGGGGCGUCCCGACUACACGUUUGUAAUUCUGCGUGCAAAAUGAUGACACUUUGGCAGCCGUUUCGCCGGGAUUGCAUCACGUCAAUCAAAACAUUGCACGGGUGGAUAAAAUCUACUGUCUAGGGAGAGAUCACCCUCCCUCGCUCGCUCGUGGCUUCGCCGUUAUGGCGUCGAGGAUAGUAUUCUCCGACCCCAUGGAGGCAACCGUGCCGCCCCACACGUGAGCACCAACGCCAGCGGGUGAACGUUUCGAUGAAGACGUACUCAUCGGACACGCGCGGAUGCUUCGGCGCUGUGGGCGUGUCUACUGAUCCAAACACGCCCCACUCGGCUCUCGACUCCCAGUCAGAUAGCACGUCAACGACCUGGAAAAAUGGAUGCUACUUUGCCUCAUAUUUAUUUAUUUAUGUAUUUAUUGCCUACACGUCAGUGAAUUAUUGAACGACAAGUUUAAAGCUCUUGGGCGCAGGGCUUUUUCACACCACAACAAUGAGGCACUCGAAAGCGGACAUGCCAGCCCGAAGGCCUCAUCUGAUCCAAGUUUUCAUUGUUGAGAUAUUUCCUUUUGUUUCAUCUCUUAUUUUCCUGUGUCCUGCUUCCGUCGUGUCUUGCUCCACCUGCUCUCCUUAAUCCUGCUCCUUGUUUCGUCCAAUCAGCUCCCUUUAGCCGCUCGUAUCUUGUCCACGUGUGCCUCGUUGUCUCGUCAUUUCUGUCAGCCUCUGUCGGAUCAUUUUCAUAACACGUCACGUUUUCCUGAAUCCCAUCACGCCAGUUUUCCUGCUGAUUUUCCCAUUUUCUUAUUUUAUUUUCGACUUUGAACCUUAGGUUUUUUUUGUUUUUUUUUUGGUUCUUUUGAAAAUAAACCCUCUUGUGAGUCCACCCCUUUCCCCACCAACAUCACCGCAAAACUAUAACAGAAAGAAGGCGCCAAAAGCCACGCUCUGGAAUUGCUAUUUCGGGAGAAACCCGACUAAAUGUUUGAAAAGUUGGAAAAAAGUUUUGUAAAUCCCGACUAAAUGGAACAGGUUUAAAACGGGAGUCAGGGGGAUGCAGCUCACUCGGCUUUGCGUGGAAUUAAAGCUCUGCAUCAGCCGCCUAUAGACUAUGGAGACAUGAGAACAAUAUUUAUGCAAAGGUGCUGCGCCAUCCUGCUCUCUUUUGUUACUUUUUCAAGCACUAAGUAUUCCCCAGGUGUUCUGCUGUUCUCUCUUCAAACACUCCCUCCUGGUGGAGUGGAAGCGCAAGCUUCAUGCAUUUAAACGUAGUGCUUGA